rnacentral:rRNA from 1 species
CGGGGAGGUAGUGACGAAAAAUAACGAUACGGGACUCAUCCGAGGCCCCGUAAUCGGAAUGAGAACACUUUAAAUCCUUUAACGAGGACCAAUUGGAGGGCAAGUCUGGUGCCAGCAGCCGCGGUAAUUCCAGCUCCAAUAGCGUAUAUUAAAGUUGUUGCGGUUAAAAAGCUCGUAGUUGAAUCUGUGUGUCACAGUGUCGGUUCGCCAUCGCGGUGAUUAACUGGCAUUAUGUGGUACGUCCUACCGGUGGACGCUGUUCCCUUCGGGGGGCGGUCCAACUAAUUACCCAUCGCGGUGCUCUUCACUGAGUGUCGAGGUGGGCCGGUACGUUUACUUUGAACAAAUUAGAGUGCUCAAAGCAGGCUAUUUUCGCCUGAAUACUCUGUGCAUGGAAUAAUGGAAUAGGACCUCGGUUCUAUUUUGUUGGUUUUCGGAACCCCGAGGUAAUGAUUAAUAGGGACAGAUGGGGGCAUUCGUAUUGCGACGUUAGAGGUGAAAUUCUUGGAUCGUCGCAAGACGGACUAAAGCGAAAGCAUUUGCCAAAAAUGUUUUCAUUAAUCAAGAACGAAAGUUAGAGGUUCGAAGGCGAUCAGAUACCGCCCUAGUUCUAACCAUAAACGAUGCCAGCUAGCGAUCCGCCGAUGUUCCUCCGAUGACUCGGCGGGCAGCUUCCGGGAAACCAAAGCUUUUGGGUUCCGGGGGAAGUAUGGUUGCAAAGCUGAAACUUAAAGGAAUUGACGGAAGGGCACCACCAGGAGUGGAGCCUGCGGCUUAAUUUGACUC